AGUCGCAAGCUUGCAAGGUUAGUUUCAGUUCAUCACGUAUUGAAUACAGAGUACAUUUCCUGUUUCCAGUGUUUUAUCCAGGCAUUUAUUUGUUUUGAAGUCACGUGAUCUUCUAUCAUCAAUGAGACGUAUGUCGCGUCAUGCGCCGAUAAAGCUUCGGAAGGGCGCACAAUCAUGAGUAUCAUGGGGAAGCUGGUGACCCUUCCUCACCAUCCAAAGCAAGGACGACCAUAAGAGAGAGAAAAACCUUUCAAGGACCUUCUGAUAACUGAAGUUAUGAUUGCAGCUGCUACAAACCGGUGCUGGCCGAAGGCAGAAUUGAAGCAGGUCUAGUUGAAAGCGGCUACGUGGCUUGCACAAGCCCAAUCCAAGUUGGACAAAAUGAAUCAGCCAUCAACACCAGCUACAAUAACAAUAUUCGACAUCGAUUGUGAAGAUGAACCUCUCGAAUAGAUAAGAAUAUAAUAGUAGUGACA